AUUGAACGCUGGCGGCAGGCCUAACACAUGCAAGUCGAGCGGAUGAAGGGAGCUUGCUCCUGGAUUCAGCGGCGGACGGGUGAGUAAUGCCUAGGAAUCUGCCUGGUAGUGGGGGAUAACGUCCGGAAACGGGCGCUAAUACCGCAUACGUCCUGAGGGAGAAAGUGGGGGAUCUUCGGACCUCACGCUAUCAGAUGAGCCUAGGUCGGAUUAGCUAGUUGGUGGGGUAAAGGCCUGCCAAGGCGACGAUCCGUAACUGGUCUGAGAGGAUGAUCAGUCACACUGGAACUGAGACACGGUCCAGACUCCUACGGGAGGCAGCAGUGGGGAAUAUUGGACAAUGGGCGAAAGCCUGAUCCAGCCAUGCCGCGUGUGUGAAGAAGGCCUUCGGAUUGUAAAGCACUUUAAGUUGGGAGGAAGGGCAGUAAGUUAAUACCUUGCUGUUUUGACGUUACCAACAGAAUAAGCACCGGCUAACUUCGUG
rnacentral:rRNA from 1 species